UACCGGCUGCUCAAGUGAUAGCCGGAAUUAUUGGGCGUAAAGGGUGCGUAGGCGGCACAUUAAGUCUAAGGUUAAAGUUCGAGGCUCAACUUCGGAUUGCCUUAGAAACUGGUGAGCUAGAGUGCAGGAGAGGGCAAUGGAAUUCCAUGUGUAGCGGUAAAAUGCGUAGAUAUAUGGAGGAACACCAGUGGCGAAGGCGGUUGCCUGGCCUGUAACUGACGCUGAGGCACGAAAGCGUGGGGAGCAAAUA
rnacentral:rRNA from 1 species